ensembl:snoRNA U3 Small nucleolar RNA U3
AAGACUAUAAUACUUUCAGGGGUCAUUUCUAUAGUUCAUUACUAGAGAAGAUUCUCUGAACGUGAAGAAUACCAGAAAUCAUGAGAAGGAGAUGCAGUGUCCUUUCCUGAGCAUGAAGCUGGCUUUGAGUGCUGCUUUUACAGCUGCUCUUUGCCCUUGAUGAUUGUUCUUUUCCCACUUUGGGUGAAUAAAAGAGAAAGGACACCAUCUGAGUGGU